rfam:Sphingobium japonicum TT26S DNA, chromosome 1, complete genome.
CCAGAGGGCCGGGCGGCCGCGGCGUGGCGGGUAACUUCCACGGCGAGGAAAGUCCGGGCUCCACGAAAUGACGGUGCCGGCUAACGGCCGGCUGGAGUGAUCCAAGGGACAGUGCAACAGAAAGCAGGUCGCCCAAGGCUUCGGCCCCAAGACUUCGGUCGGGUGAAAUUGAAAGGGUGCGGUAAGAGCGCACCGCGCCUGCGGCAACGCAAGGCGGCACGGUAAACCCCACCGGGAGCAAGACCGAAUAGGGGCGGCGCGCAGUUUCGGCUGCUAGGCCAGUUUCGGCUGAGACCGCCCGGGUUGGUUGCUUGAGGGACGGAGCGAUCCGUCCCCUAGAGGAAUGGUCGCCACCCUUCGCAAGAGGGGGACAGAACCCGGCUUACAGGCCCUCUGGCAUC